GCCAGGUGUGGUGGCGCACACCUGUAAUCCCAGCUACUUGGGAGGCUGAGGCAGCAGAAUCGCUUGAACCCAGGAGGUGGGGGUCACAGUGAGCUGAGAUUGUGCCACUGCACUCCAGCCUGGGUGACAGAGUGAGACUCUGUCUCAA
ensembl:misc_RNA Metazoa_SRP Metazoan signal recognition particle RNA